rnacentral:rRNA from 1 species
CCUACGGGAGGCAGCAGUGGGGAAUUUUGGACAAUGGGGGAAACCCUGAUCCAGCCAUGCCGCGUGAGUGAAGAAGGCCUUCGGGUUGUAAAGCCCUUUCGGCCGGGAAAAAUUGCACGGAUGAACAGUCUGUGUAGAUGAUGGUACCGGACUAAGAAGCACCGGCUAACUACGUGCCAGCAGCCGCGGUAAU